GACGAACGCUGGCGGCGUGCCUAAUACAUGCAAGUUGAGCGAUGAAGAUUGGUGCUUGCACCAAUUUGAAGAGCAGCGAACGGGUGAGUAACGCGUGGGGAAUCUGCCUUUGAGCGGGGGACAACAUUUGGAAACGAAUGCUAAUACCGCAUAACAACUUUAAACAUAAGUUUUAAGUUUGAAAGAUGCAAUUCCAUCACUCAAAGAUGAUCCCGCGUUGUAUUAGCUAGUUGGUGAGGUAAAGGCUCACCAAGGCGAUGAUACAUAGCCGACCUGAGAGGGUGAUCGGCCACAUUGGAACUGGAACAGGGCCCAAACUCCUACGGGAGGCAGCAGUAGGGAAUCUUCGGCAAUGGACGAAAGUCUGACCGAGCAACGCCGCGUGAGUGAAGAAGGUUUCGGAUCGUAAAACUCUGUUGGUAGAGAAGAACGUUGGUGAGAGUGGAAAGCUCAUCAAGUGACGGUAACUACCCAGAAAGGGACGGCUAACUACGUG
rnacentral:rRNA from 1 species